rnacentral:rRNA from 1 species
UCGAACGAUGAUGCCCACUUGUGGGUGGAUUAGUGGCGAACGGGUGAGUAACACGUGAGUAACCUGCCCUUGACUCUGGGAUAAGCCUGGGAAACUGGGUCUAAUACCGGAUAUGACCUUCCAUCGCAUGGUGGUUGGUGGAAAGCUUUUGUGGUUUUGGAUGGACUCGCGGCCUAUCAGCUUGUUGGUGGGGUAAUGGCCUACCAAGGCGACUACGGGUAGCCGGCCUGAGAGGGUGACCGGCCACACUGGGACUGAGACACGGCCCAGACUCCUACGGGAGGCAGCAGUGGGGAAUAUUGCACAAUGGGCGCAAGCCUGAUGCAGCGACGCCGCGUGAGGGAUGACGGCCUUCGGGUUGUAAACCUCUUUCAGUAGGGAAGAAGCGUAAGUGACGGUACCUGCAGAAGAAGCGCCGGCUAACUACGUGCCAGCAGCCGCGGUAAUACGUAGGGCGCAAGCGUUAUCCGGAAUUAUUGGGCGUAAAGAGCUCGUAGGCGGUUUGUCGCGUCUGCCGUGAAAGUCCGGGGCUCAACUCCGGAUCUGCGGUGGGUACGGGCAGACUAGAGUGAUGUAGGGGAGACUGGAAUUCCUGGUGUAGCGGUGAAAUGCGCAGAUAUCAGGAGGAACACCGAUGGCGAAGGCAGGUCUCUGGGCAUUAACUGACGCUGAGGAGCGAAAGCAUGGGGAGCGAACAGGAUUAGAUACCCUGGUAGUCCAUGCCGUAAACGUUGGGCACUAUGUGUGGGGGACAUUCCACGUUUUCCGCGCCGUAGCUAACGCAUUAAGUGCCCCGCCU